UGUUACUUUAAGUUCUUGCAUUAUCUUUUUUGAAUAGCAUUGCACUUAAGCUGAUCUAUUUUUCUUUCCUUCAGUAAAGAAGAAAUUGUUAAUGGUGUUUAUUACUGUAUCAGGUGAAUAUGUAUAGUUUUAUGCUGCCUUGACCCAUUUUAUCAUGUGUGAAUAUGACUUUCCGUAGAAACCUGAGCUUGAAAACAAAAGCAUAAAUUCAUCACCCUUGGCCAAAGAGUUCAUAUUCAGAAAGGCAUUUUGGGAGGAAUUAAUCCUUCUCCCUGCCAUUAUGCACUUGGAUCUCAAGCGCAUACCACAUGCUUUCCUGACCUGGGACCUCUGUCAGCACAUAAAUAUGGAGGAAAACAGGCUACACUGGGAAGGAAGUAUGUUUUAACCUGGAAAGGAUGAUGAAGUGCUUCCUUCAUAUUCACAGCAGAACUAAUCCCACUCUGGUCAUGAAUUCU